rnacentral:rRNA from 1 species
AACGUAGGACGCAAGCGUUAUCCGGAAUUACUGGGCGUAAAGAGCGUGUAGGCGGAUUGCCAAGUCGGGUAUGAAAGCUCCUGGCUAAACUAGGAGAGGUUGCUCGAAACUGGCAGUCUAGAGUGCGAUAGAGGAGUGUGGAAUUCCACGUGUAGUGGUGAAAUGCGUAGAUAUGUGGAGGAACACCAGUGGCGAAGGCGGCACUCUGGGUCGCAACUGACGCUGAGACGCGAAAGCAUGGGUAGCGAACGGGAUUAGAUACCCGCGUA